UGCCAGCAGCCGCGGUAAUACGGAGGGGGUUAGCGUUGUUCGGAAUUACUGGGCGUAAAGCGCGCGUAGGCGGCCGACUAAGUCUGAUGUGAAAGCCCGGGGCUUACCCCCGGAAGUGCAUUGGAUACUGGCAGUCUUGAGUAUGGGAGAGGAAAGUGGAAUUCCGAGUGUAGGAGUGAAAUCCGUAGAUAUUCGGAGGAACACCGGUGGCGAAGGCGGCUUUCUGGACCAAUACUGACGCUGAGAUGCGAAAGCGUGGGGAGCGAACAGGAUUAGAUA
rnacentral:rRNA from 1 species